rnacentral:rRNA from 1 species
GCAAAGUUGUGUAGUGCGAUCGGUGGAUGCCUUGGCACCAAGAGCCGAUGAAGGACGUUGUGACCUGCGAUAAGCCCUGGGGAGUUGGUGAGCGAGCUGUGAUCCGGGGGUGUCCGAAUGGGGAAACCUGGAAUGUCCGGAGUAGUGUCCGGUGGCCCUGCCCUGAAUGUAUAGGGGUGUGGGUGGUAACGCGGGGAAGUGAAACAUCUUAGUACCCGUAGGAAGAGAAAACAAGUGUGAUUCCGUGAGUAGUGGCGAGCGAAAGCGGAGGAGGCUAAACCGUGUGUGUGUUCAAGCCGGCAGGUGUUGCAUGUGCGGGGUUGUGGGGGCCUUGUGGUUCUGCUGCCGCAGGAUUGGCCAGUGAGAAAUGUUGCGUGAAGGUGAAGCGUCUGGGAAGGCGUACCGGAGUGGGUGAGAGUCCUGUAACUGUAAGCGUGGCACUGGUGUGGGGUUGCCCCGAGUAGCGUGGGACUCGUGGAAUUUCGCGUGAAUCUGGCGGGACCACCCGUCAAGCCUAAAUACUCCUUGGUGACCGAUAGUGGAUGAGUACCGUGAGGGAAGGGUGAAAAGUACCCCGGGAGGGGAGUGAAAGAGUUCCUGAAACCGGUCGCAUGCAAGCCGUCAGAGCCUGUGUGGUGAUGGCGUGCCUUUUGAAGAAUGAGCCUGCGAGUUAGUGAUGCGUGGCGAGGUUAACCCGUGGUGGGGGAGUCGUAGCGAAAGCGAGUCCGAUAAGGGCGUGAGUCGCGUGUUCUAGACCCGAAGCGGUGUGAUCUAUCCAUGGCCAGGAUGAAGCGUCGGUAAGACGUCGUGGAGGUCCGAACCCACUUCAGUUGAAAAUGGAGGGGAUGAGUUGUGGAUAGGGGUGAAAGGCCAAUCAAACACCGUGAUAGCUGGUUCUCCCCGAAAUGCAUUUAGGUGCAGCGUUGCGUGGUUCUUGUUGGAGGUAGAGCACUGGAUGGUCUAGGGGGCUUAUCGGCUUACCGAAAUCAGCCAAACUCCGAAUGCUGGCAAGUGUAGCGUGGCAGUGAGACGGCGGGGGAUAAGCUUCGUCGUCGAGAGGGAAACAGCCCAGAUCAUCAGCUAAGGCCCCUAAGUGGUGACUCAGUGGGAAAGGAUGUGGAGUUGCGUAGACAACCAGGAGGUUGGCUUGGAAGCAGCCAUCCUUGAAAGAGUGCGUAAUAGCUCACUGGUCAAGUGAUUCCGCGCCGAUAAUGUAGCGGGGCUUAAGUUAUCCGCCGAAGCUGUGGCAACCUGUGUGGUUGGGUAGGGGAGCGUCGUGUCAGUGGUGAAGCUGCCGGGUGACUGUGUGGUGGAGUUGAUGCGAGUGAGAAUGCAGGCAUGAGUAGCGUGUGACGGGUGGGAAUCCCGUCCGCCGAUUAUCCAAGGGUUCCAGGGUCAAGUUUGUCUGCCCUGGGUGAGUCGGGUCCUAAGGCGAGGCCGACAGGCGUAGUCGAUGGGUAACCAGUUGAUAUUCUGGUACCGGCUUGUCACCGUCCGUGUCGAGGUGUGUGAUGCUAAGCAUGUGAGCUUGUCUUGGGAGUGUUUUUGAUGCUUCUGGGGUGGGUGAGUGUGUGAACCGAUCAUGUAGUAGGCAAGCUGCGGAGGGACGCAGUGAGGUAGCUCAUCCCCGGUGAUGGUUGUCCGGGGCUAAGUGUGUGGACUGUCUGGUAGGUAAAUCCGCUGGGCGUGAAGGUUGAGGCAUGAUGGGGAGCCCAUGGUUGUGGGUGAGUGAGUGAUCCUGUACUGUCGAGAAAAGCUUCGUGAGCGAGGUGGCGGGUCCGCCCGUACCCUAAACCGACACUGGUGGAUAGGUAGAGUAUACCGAGGCGAUCGAGUGAAUCGUGGUGAAGGAACUCGGCAAAAUGCCCCCGUAACUUUGGGAUAAGGGGGACCUGAGCUGUCGUGCACCCGUGCGGUGUGGUGGCGGUGAGGGGCGCAGAGUCCAGGGGGAAACGACUGUUUACCAAAAACACAGGUCCGUGCGAAGUCGUAAGACGAUGUAUACGGACUGACUCCUGCCCGGUGCUGGAAGGUUAAGGGGAACUGUGAGUGUAUGCGUAGCGGUGAACUUAAGCCCCAGUAAACGGCGGUGGUAACUAUAACCAUCCUAAGGUAGCGAAAUUCCUUGUCGGGUAAGUUCCGACCUGCACGAAUGGAGUAACGAUUUCCCUACUGUCUCCACCAUGAACUCGGUGAAAUUGCAUUACGAGUAAAGAUGCUCGUUACGCGCAGCAGGACGGAGAGACCCCGGGACCUUUACUAUAGUUUGGUAUUGGUGAUUGGGACGGUUUGUGUAGGAUAGGUGGGAGACGUUGAUGCGGCCACGCUAGUGGUGGUGGAGUCGUUGGUGAAAUACCACUCUGAUUGUUCUGGUUAUCUCACUGUGGACCGUGAUCCGGUUCAAGGACAGUGCCUGAUGGGUAGUUUGACUGGGGCGGUCGCCUCCUAAAGGGUAACGGAGGCGCCCAAAGGUUCCCUCAGCCUGGUUGGUAAU